GAUGAACGCUGGCGGCGUGCCUAAUACAUGCAAGUCGAGCGAACAGAUGAGGAGCUUGCUCCUCUGACGUUAGCGGCGGACGGGUGAGUAACACGUGGAUAACCUACCUAUAAGACUGGGAUAACUUCGGGAAACCGGAGCUAAUACCGGAUAAUAUAUUGAACCGCAUGGUUCAAUAGUGAAAGACGGUUUUGCUGUCACUUAUAGAUGGAUCCGCGCCGCAUUAGCUAGUUGGUAGGGUAACAGCUUACCAAGGCAACGAUGCGUAGCCGACCUGAGAGGGUGAUCGGCCACACUGGAACUGAGACACGGUCCAGACUCCUACGGGAGGCAGCAGUAGGGAAUCGUCCGCAAUGGGCGAAAGCCUGACGGAGCAACGCCGCGUGAGUGAUGAAGGUCUUCGGAUCGUAAAACUCUGUUAUUAGGGAAGAACAAAUGUGUAAGUAACUAUGCACGUCUUGACGGUACCUAAUCAGAAAGCCACGGCUAACUACGUG
rnacentral:rRNA from 1 species